UUGGACCUGAUAUCAGGCAAGAUUACCCGCUGAACUUUA
rnacentral:rRNA from 1 species